UCUUGUCCUCCCUUCUUCCCGUGGACGUAGAUUUACUUCAGUAAAUCGAACCACGUAAAUUCUUUGUGUCAUAAUCUUCAUUCUCUACUAGCAUUUACUAAGAUCAGAAAUUCGCGGAUUCAUCAUUUGUCUUGAAUGAAUGGAUUCAAACAAAGAUUCAAGGCUCUGAAGUUUCUGGGACAGUUGAGGUUAAAUGAAAAUAGUUGAUAUGCUGGACAAUUCUUAAAUGAUGUUUCUUGUCUAAAGUCGCUGAAUUAUGUUCACUGUCUGGAUGAUAUUUAUAUACAAACUAUUUACCUUCCGUGCUUCCUAGUUUCGGAAUUAAUUGAGUGAUGCUCAGACUUCAGAGUGUCAGUAGAUUUCAUUCUAAAUAUGUUACUCAGGCUUCCGGUUAAUAACGUUUGUGCAAUUCAUUUCUGAAGCAUGUUGGAUGGUGGUCGCCGACUAUUAUUAGAGCUGAUGACCGUGAAGCUGUCCAUAUUCCGAACCAUAAAUUCACUAUGAAUAUUGUAUGAAAUCUCAGUCAAAAGACUCACUGGCGCAUUAAAACUCAUCUGGCGAUCAGUCAUUUAGAUGUUGGCAAAGUCAAUAAAAUUGUAGCAGAUAUGCGCAAGGUUCUGUCGAAGAAUCCACAAGUGGAACAACAGAAACUGCAUAGAAAAGAGUAUUCCUGGACAAUAUUGAUCCCGAAAAUCAGGCCCUAUUGGUUAGAUACUGGUGUCCUGCUUUGUGAAGACCUCUCGUUUUGAAGAAUAUUUGUGCGUUAAGGAAGCUAUUCUUCUAGACCUUCUAAGGGGUAAUUUCACACCACCGUGCUCGAUUAGCCACACCCAUCCGCACGGUUCAGAAAGUAUACAGAGAUGCCGAUUUGGAUGAUAUACCAUUUUCAGAUUCUCCUUUUUCCUGGGGAGCUACUUCAAAACAUCCAUUACUGUUGGUUGAGCCUUCCAAUAAAAUCAACGGGGAGGAUAAGAUCAAACCACACGUCCGAUCUACACAUAUAAAUGGGGAUGAAGAUGAAACGGCUACACCAAAAUCAACAAAGUCAUCUGCAGAUGGUAAAGGGGAUGAUACUAAAGGUGAAAAUAUCGAUACAAAGCCAAAAGAAACGGAAGUUGGAGACCAUAGUAGAAAAGAGGCACAAACGACAGAGGCCAAAGUUGGUGAGGAGUCUGGAAGAGGGACCAAGGAUGUGAAAUCAUCUCCAUGGGUGUCACGACCGCAUUUUCUAAGGAUAGAAAACACGGUUGAUCGCGACUUGGGGAGGAUUAAAGAAGCGGGGAAGAAAGGGGAAAAUCAACACAACUCAACCACAACCCGAAAUAAAUGGGAAUAG